UCUUAGCCAUUAGAUUAAGACCUAAUGAAUGUAGACCCUCUAUUUUAAUUAACCUAAUUUUUGUCUCAAAAAUGCUAUUUUGGCCGACACAUAAUUCCACUAAAAGUUUUCCAUUAUUUGCUCUUUUAUUUCUGAUUUUCAGCUCCUAACCCUAGCUUUCUUUUUUCUUUCAAUUCUUCUCUUCUAACAAAACAAAACAAAUACACGAUUAAGAAGACUAUAGCUAACGAAAUUCUAAUGAUUCAAGUUAAUCCACUGUUCUUUUUGAUUUUAAAUUUUUUGCUUUCUUGAAGAAUUUGUUUAAUGGCUCUAGUUUCAGUUUUAAUUGAGAAUGGCAAGGAUAAAUGGGAUAGCCGGAUUCGGUUUGGCGACGGCGCCUCUUGCUCUCCGGUUAGUUCCUGUCUUGAACCGAAGAAAGAUUGGCUUGCGGGUUGAACUGAGAUCGAACCGGAGGAGAAGGAUGGAGGCUCUGAACUGAUGAAGAAAGAAAUCUUAAGCUUGAACAAAGGUAAUGAAGGAGAGGAGCAAGGAAUGGAAGAAUGUGCAGAAUUUCUCAACAACUUUUUCUAUUUUUUUUUUCUAAAGGAGGGCUAAUGUUCCUUCUCUUCUUUAUUUUCAGUGUAAGUUUUUGGGGGCUAUUUAUGCUAUAGCAAAGAGAGAAUGUGAGAAGACAGGCUGAAUUUCAGCUUCAAAGAAAAAGGAAGAAAGAUGGUGAGGAUUUGUGCAAUGUAUUUUGGUCAUGGCAGAACUUGGAUAGUGUCUCCACACAACAAAGGACUACAUUUCAGCUCAGUAGCACACAUUGAGAAAAAGGAAGAAGCUGUGGAGAAUUUCAAUGGGCAUAUUGCUAUGUAAAUUCCCUGAUGUCCUUUGCAAUGAAUUUUGGACUUAAUUUAUAGGCUAAGGCAAUGGCAGUUCUGUAAUUAUGAUAAAUGUGAUUAAUUGUGCCUAAAUGUACUUAAUUAGCCAUAAUCUUGAUUUUGUGUCUAUAAAUUGGAUUUGCACUUGACAA